rnacentral:rRNA from 1 species
GACGUAGGGCGCGAGCGUGUCCGGAUUUAUUGGGCGUAAAGCGCACGUAGGCGGCUUAGCAAGUCGGAUGUGAAAGCCCUCGGCUCAACCAAGGAAGUGCAUCCGAAACUGCUGCGCUUGAGUACUUAAGAGGAUCGCGGAAUUCCCGGUGUAGAGGUGAAAUUCGUAGAUAUCGGGAGGAACACCAGUGGCGAAGGCGGCGAUCUGGGAAGAUACUGACGCUGAGGUGCGAAAGCGUGGG